rnacentral:lncRNA from 10 species
AGAAAGGAGACUUCAGAAGCAGUAGGAACCACACCAACUGCAAUAUCAUCACCAGACUUCCAGAUGUUGUGCCUUUUCCAGCUUCUUGCCACAUCAAACUUCUCCUUGCAAACAACGGAGCAGUGUGGCCACUCAGCCUGGGGGUUGGCCAACUCUGAUUAGGCCUGGAUGGCCCAGGGUUCUCAUCUAUGCAGCAAAGUUGGAAGCUUCCACAGCAGGGAGAAGCCAUUCCUUCUGCAAUGAACAUCGCUGAUGGACAGGUUUCUGAUGCUGAAGUCUAUGCUGUCAUGAGGCAGAACUUUGCUGUAAGCAAAGCAUUUCAAUAGAAGUUGCCUCGGUCGUUGUUUUGACUUGGAAAAAGUGACCACCAGAUCUGCACCUAGAGUACCAGUCACCACUUGACCCAUGGGGACAGCACCAAUUGUCCUGGAGGAGUGGACACCUCUGUCCUGUCGGUUUCACGCAGUCGGUUUCACGCAGUCGGUGGUGCACUCCCACAGCACCAGCAUUCUCAUGGUGAUGUUAGCACACAGCUCCCGCAUUUUGUCACCUGAAAGUGAUGCCAAUGCUACUGUGUGGGUUAUGGUAACUUUUUUUUUUUUUUUUUUUGAGGCAGAGUCUCACUCUGUUGCCCAGGCUGGAGUGCAGUGACGCAAUCUCGCUCACUGCAACCUCCAUCUCCCGGAUUCAAGCAAUUCUCCUGCCUCAGCCUCCUGAGUAGCUGGGAUUACAGGUGCAUGCCAUCAUGCCCAGCAAAUUUUUGUAUUUUUAGUAGAGACAGGGUUUUAUCAUGUUGACCAGGCUGGUCUUGAAAUCCUAGCCUCAAGUGAUCCACCUGCUUUGGCCUCCCAAAGUGCUGGCAUUCCAGGCGUGAGCCACCGUGCCGGGCCCUAUGGCAACUUUUUAAAAACAUACAUGGGACUGCUUUGGUGGCUUCCUCAUGUUUCUCCUGGCUCAGUGGAAUCUGCUUUCUAACACCAGCAAUGAAUUGUUUCACACCCAAGAUGUAAGACAAAGAGCACACUCUAGGUCUGCUAAUGCUUUGCAUUACCUGCUGCAAAUUCUUCAGUGCCACAGCCACAAUCAGGAGGGCCGGCCCCAGAUGUGCGUGUGCUCAUGUUUCGGGUAAAGUCUCUUCCGUAUAGUGUUCUGAGAUGUGGUAGGCCAAAUAACAGCCCCCAGAGAUGUCCAUGCCCUGGUCCCUGGAACCCUUUACGUAAUACAACAAAGGGUGCUUUGCAGAUGUGGUUAAGGUUAUAGAUCUCAAGAUGGGGCAAUUAUCCAGAAUUAACUAGGAGGGCACAAUCUAUGAGCUCUUAAAAGUAGAGAACUGGCUGAUGUCAGAGAGAUGAGAAGACAGGAGAGAUUCAAAUCAUGAGAGGGACUCCACUCACUGUUGCUCGCUUUGAAGAUGGAGAAAGAGGCUAGAGUCAGGGAAUGCGGGGGUGGCCUCUAGAAGCUGGGAAUGACCCCGCUGAUGUCAGCAAGGAAAUAGGGACCUCAGUCCUACAAUCACAGAGAACUGAAUUCCACCAACAAUCUGAAUGCUCAAGGAAACAGAUUCUCCCCUCUUGAGCCUCCAGAAAGGAAUGCAGUCCUGCUGACACCUUGAGUGUAGUCCAGUAAGACCCAUGGAGAACACAUUUCAGAUAUCACAUCUGUAGCUGGGCCCAGUGGCUCGUACCUGUAGUCCCAGCUCCUGAGGCAGGCGUUAGGGAAGAGGGGCUGAGGCAGGCAGGAGGAUCACUUGAGCCCAGGAGUUUAAGUCCAGCCUGAGCAACAUAGAAAGACCCUGUCCCUAAAAUAAGAAAAAAAAACCACACACACAAAAGAUAAUACAUUUGUGUUGUUUUAAGCCACGAAAUUUGUGGUAUUUUGUUACAGAAGUGAUAGUGUGUCCGGAAUUGGUGGGUUCUUGGUCUCACUGACUUCAAGAAUGAAGCCGCGGACCCUCGCCGUGAGUGUUACAGUUCUUAAAGGCGGCGUGUCUGGAGUUUGUUCCUUCUGAUGUUCAGAUGUGUUCGGAGUUUCUUCCUCCUGGUGGGUUCGUGGUCUCGCUGGCUCAGGAGUGAAACUGCAGACCUUCACAGAGGUGUGUCUCUCGGCGCUUGGGCCUCUCUGGGAUGAAAGUUUUAAGUGCACACGAAGGCUUUGCCAAGCUCUCUCUUCCUGAUGCCAUGAUGACUAUGAACAGCAGCUCCGUGGCCUGGAUCCAGAGGGAGGACAAUGACACCGUGAUGUAUAAUGUGAACAAGAAAUAAAUCUUUACUGUUUGAGCCAUUGAGAC